GUUUAAGCCCUUUUCAGGUGAAUUACGGAUAUAAUCCACGAGCUCCCAUCGACUUGGCUCCAGUUCCAGAUUUAGUUCGCAAAAGCGGUAAAGCAGAAGACUUUAUUGAGCAGCUUCAGAAGAUUCAUGAAACUACGCAAGAGUCUUUGAAGCAGACGACCGAAGGUUAUAAAAUUAUGGUAGACAAAAAACGUCGAGCUUU
rnacentral:lncRNA from 1 species